rnacentral:piRNA from 1 species
UGCUUAGUAGGGACACAAAACUGUGCAUAGCA